rfam:Triticum urartu cultivar G1812 contig895878, whole genome shotgun sequence.
CAGCUACUCCCUCCGUCCGGAAUUACUUGUCGCAGAAAUGGAUGUAUCUAGAUAUAUUUUAGUGGAUGUAUCUAGAUAUAUUUUAGUUCUAGAUACAUCCAUAUCCAAGACAAAUAAUUUCGAACGGAGGGAGUACAUA